GAAUUUUGGCCAAUGGGGGCUACCCUGAUCCAGCCAUCCCGCGUGUGCGCUGAAGGCCUUCGGGUUGUAAAGCACUUUUGGCAGGGAAGAAAAGGCCCUGGCUAAUACCUUGCGCUGCUGACGGUCCCUGCAGAAUAAGCACCGGCCACCUCCGUGCCCGCAGCCGCGGUAAUACGUAGGGUGCAAGCGUUAAUCGGAAUUACUGGGCGUAAAGCGUGCGCAGGCGGUUCGGCAAGAAGGAUGUGAAAUCCCAGGGCUUAACCUUGGAACUGCAUUCUUAACUGCCGGGCUAGAGUAUGUCAGAGGGGGGUAGAAUUCCGCGUGUAGCGGUGAAAUGCGUAGAGAUGCGGAGGAAUACCGAUGGCGAAGGCAGCCCCCUGGGAUAAUACUGACGCUCAUGCACGAAAGCGUGGGGAGCAAAC
rnacentral:rRNA from 1 species